rnacentral:rRNA from 1 species
UACGUAGGGUGCAAGCGUUAUCCGGAAUUAUUGGGCGUAAAGAGCUCGUAGGCGGUUUGGUCGCGUCUGCUGUGAAAACUGGAGGCUCAACCUCCAGCCUGCAGUGGGUACGGGCAAACUAGAGUGCGGUAGGGGGAGAUUGGAAUCCUGGUGUAGCGGUGAAAUGCGCAGAGUAUCAGGAGGAACACCGGUGGCGAAGGCGGAUCUCUGGGCGAACUUGACCUGC